CAGUGAUAAACUGGAGGAAGGUGGGGAUGACGUCAAGUCAUCAUGGCCCUUACGACCAGGGCUACACACGUGCUACAAUGGCGCAUACAAAGAGAAGCGACCUCGCGAGAGCAAGCGGACCUCAUAAAGUGCGUCGUAGUCCGGAUUGGAGUCUGCAACUCGACUCCAUGAAGUCGGAAUCGCUAGUAAUCGUGGAUCAGAAUGCCACGGUGAAUACGUUCCCGGGCCUUGUACACACCGCCCGUCACACCAUGGGAGUGGGUUGCAAAAGAAGUAGGUAGCUUAACCUUCGGGAGGGCGCUUACCACUUUGUGAUUCAUGACUGGGGUGAAGUCGU
rnacentral:rRNA from 1 species